UACAGAGGGGGCAAGCGUUAUUCGGAAUUAUUGGGCGUAAAGGGCGCGUAGGCGGCUUGGCAAGUGGGUGGUGAAAUCCCUCGGCUUAACCGAGGAACUGCCAUCCAGACUGCUUUGCUUGAGGCCGGGAGAGGUGAGUGGAAUUCCCAGUGUAGCGGUGAAAUGCGUAGAUAUUGGGAGGAACACCAGUGGCGAAGGCGGCUCACUGGACCGGUUCUGACGCUGAGGCGCGAAAGCGUGGGGAGCAAACGGG
rnacentral:rRNA from 1 species